rnacentral:rRNA from 1 species
GACAGAGGUGCCGAGCGUUAGGCGGAAUCACUGGGCUUAAAGCGUGUGUAGGCGGGCGGGCAAGUACCUUGUGAAAUCCCACGGCUCAACCGUGGAACGGCUGGGUAUACUGCCUGUCUUGAGCCAACUAGGGGCGAGCGGAACAGACGGUGGAGCGGUGAAAUGCGUAGAUAUCACUUGGAACGCCAAUGGUGAAAACAGAUAGCUGGGGUUGUGCUGACACUGAGACACGAAAGCCAGGGGAGCAAACGGG